CAGAGUAGAACAGGCGCGUCAAGUGCUGCCGGAUGGGAGGUCGCCGGCAGACGAAGGGUUUCCUGCCCGCGAUACCUGUUUGCAUCCGCUGC
rnacentral:ncRNA from 1 species